rnacentral:lncRNA from 1 species
UGCUGAGAACAAUGACAAUGGAGUGCACGUGCACGAGACGACUCCAUGUUUUUCUUUCAGUGUUUGAAUGAAUACAACGUCGCUAGGUUGGAAUAUUAUCGCUACUUUACGAGAAAAAUAGCAUAAAAAUGUAUUUUAAACAGCGUUUGACAUGCUUUGAAGUACGGUAAUGGAAUAUUUUUUUUUAAAUUGUCACGAAAUGCGCCCGCGCGUCACCCUUCGGAUAGUGACCGCAACGCACGAACAAAACGGAGCUAUUUCAAUAUAACUAUGGAUUAUAUCGAACUAAAACAACAUUUGUUGUUGAAGUAGAAGUCCUGGGAGUGCAUUCUGACGAUGAACAGCAAAGAUACAACAUUGUCAUCUUUGGCGGUAUAGAUGGAUUUUCAAGGAAGAGUGAGAGCUAAUGAAGGGGUCGAAAAUGUAGAUAUUGCCAGAUGUUCACUGUCCGAGGAACAGGCCAUGGAAGCUUUAUUGCUGGCAAAAGUGUCCAUAACCAGAGGUUAAUAUCAGCUGUGUUGGUGAACCCCUCCCGCAUCUGAACUGGCUGACACAGAGGGCACAGUGUGAUCAUAGUAGGUAUGUUUUGAUAUGAGAGAGGAAGCCAGUCCCAUCAUUGCCACCUCACCCGCUCUUAACAUAACCUUCGGGCCAACUGGGGGCCCAAGGCUGGUUAGGAGACACCACUAGAGACACUGUAAUUGUGAUGAACUGAGAGAAUAUUAGCGUAGCACUGUAAUUCAUUAAUUAUAUGCUGUCUGCCUCUUUUCUUCACUCUUUCCCUUUCUGUCUUCUACACCUGUUUCCCCACCUCGUCUUUCUUCCUCGUUUUAUAAUGCACACCAUAUGUGCAUUGAAGUAUAGAUUGAACUUGUAUUUAUAAUACCGAAAACACUCACAAACUUUUACAGAUGAACAAUCGAGAGCAUCCUAUUGGGCUGUAUCUCCGACUGGUAUGAAAACUGCUCCGCCCACAACCGUAAGGCUCUCCAGAGGGUAGUGAGGUCUGCACAACGCAUCAUCGGGGGCAAACUACCUGCCCUUCAGGACACCUACACCACCCGAUGUCACAGGAAGGCAAAAAGAUCAUCAAGGACAACAACCACCUGAGCCUGUUCACCCCGCUAUCAUCCAGAAUGCGAGGUCACUACAGGUGCAUCAAAGCUGGGACUAAGAGACUGAAAAACAGCUUCUAUCUCAAGCCCAUCAGACUGUUAAACAGCCAUCACUAACAUUGGGUGGCUGCUGCCAACAUACUGACUCAAAUCUCUAACCACUUUAAUAAUUACAAAUUGGAUGUAAUAAAUGGAUCACUAGUCACUUUAAACAAUGCCACUUUAUUUAAUGUUUACAUACCCUACAUUACUCAUCUCAUAUGCAUACACUGUACUCUAUACCAUCUACUGCAUCUUGCCUAUGCCGCAUGGCCAUCGCUCAUCCAUAUAUUUAUAUGUACAUAUUCUUAUUAAUUCCUUUACACUUGUGUGUAUAAGGUAGUUGUUUUGAAAUUGUUAGAUUACUUGUUAGAUAUUACUGCACGGUCGGAGCUAGAAGCAAAAGCAUUUUGCUACACUCACAUUAACAUCUGCUAACCAUGUGUAUGUGACCAAUCAAAUUUGCUUUGAUUUGAUUUGAUAUAAUAUUACAAUUAUCGUAAUUACAAUGCAUGCUCU